AGCGAACGCUGGCGGCAGGCCUAACACAUGCAAGUCGAACGAAGUCUUCGGACUUAGUGGCGGACGGGUGAGUAACACGUGGGAACGUGCCUUUAGGUUCGGAAUAACUCAGGGAAACUUGUGCUAAUACCGAAUGUGCCCUUCGGGGGAAAGAUUUAUCGCCUUUAGAGCGGCCCGCGUCUGAUUAGCUAGUUGGUGAGGUAAAGGCUCACCAAGGCGACGAUCAGUAGCUGGUCUGAGAGGAUGAUCAGCCACAUUGGGACUGAGACACGGCCCAGACUCCUACGGGAGGCAGCAGUGGGGAAUCUUGCGCAAUGGGCGAAAGCCUGACGCAGCCAUGCCGCGUGAAUGAUGAAGGUCUUAGGAUUGUAAAAUUCUUUCACCGGGGACGAUAAUGACAGUACCCGGAGAAGAAGCCCCGGCUAACUUCGUGCCAGCCGCCGCGGUAA
rnacentral:rRNA from 1 species